GCCAGCAGUCGCGGUAAUACGUAGGGUGCAAGCGUUAUCCGGAUUCACUGGGCGUAAAGUGUCGUGUAGGCGGUAUACCGCAUCGUGUCUGAAAGCCCGAGGCUUAACCUCGGCGUUGGACACGAGAUGGGUAAACUUAGAGGAAUGGAGAGGAAAGGGGAACUCAUGGUGAAGCAGUGAAAUGCGUUGAUAUCAUGAGGAACACCGAAGGCGAAGGCACCUUUCUGGCCAUUAACUGACGCUGAGACACGAAAGCUAGGGGAGCGAAGCAGAUUAGAGACCUGCGUAGUCCUAGCCCUAAACGCAUGUCUGCUAGAUGCCCUGCCGCAAGGUGGGGUGUCGUAAGCUAACGCGUUAAGCAGACCGCCUGGGGACUACGAGCGCAAGCUUAAAACUCAAAGGAAUUGACGGGGACCCGCACAACCAGUGGAGCGUGUGGUUCAAUUCGAGACAAAGCGAAGGACCUCACCAGGGUUUGACAUGUUACCGUUUUAACCACCCAGAAAUGGGAGGCUAUCCGCAAGGAUGGUAGCACAGCUGCUGCAUGGCUGUCGUCAGCUCGUGCCGUGGGGUGUUCCCUUAAGUGGGACAACGAGCGCAACCCCUAUCCGAUGUUACAAGUGUCAUCGGAGACCGCCCCCUCUCAAAGUGUUGAAGCAUAUGAACGAUAAACGAAAACAACGAGAAUAACGAAAACAACAACCUGUUUUGUUAUUUUCGUUUGUUGUUGAAUUGUUUAUAGUUCAAAAAGCUUUCAGCUUUUUGAGAGGGGGAGGAAGGAGGGGACGACGUCAAGUCAGCACGGCGCUUAUGCCCUGGGCCACACACACCCUACAAUGGCGAACAACAACGGGACGCAAGGUAGUAAUGCCAAGCAAAUCUCUGAAAUUUCGCCUCAAUUCAGAUUGAGGUCUGCAACUCGACCUCAUGAAGUUGGAAUUGGUAGUAAUCGCGGAUCAGCAGGCCGCGGUGAAUACGUUCUCGGGUCUUGUACACACCGCCCGUCAAGCCACCAAAGUUGAAGGUACCCGAAUCCCGAUUUAUCGGGAGAAGGUAAAUUUAGCGAUGGGGACUAAGUCGUAACAAGGUAUCCCUAGCCGAAGCUGGGGAUG
rnacentral:rRNA from 1 species